rnacentral:lncRNA from 1 species
CACUCUUACUGAAAGCAUUCACUCUUCUUGGAAUUCCUGCUGAAUGGCUUCUAUUAUUAAAGCCACUUCUCUUAAGUCUGGGCCUACAGUGAUAUUCGGCUUUAUACAGUUUAGCUGAGGGUGCACUAUGCUUCACAUCUGUCUGCACUAAAACCAGUAAUGGAUGCCCUGUUGCCCCCGCAGUGAAACGAACUGCUAAAACAAAGCUUGAACAUCAUCCCAAGGGUGAACUUGUACUGUUAGUAGGAUUUCCAUAUGGCUCUUUCACACAUUCUUCCUCUAACCUUCAGAUCCAUGUAAAAUGUGGGGAAGUGGCUUUGGUGGACUACAAUUCCAAAUAUCUCCAGCCUUAAGUUUUCCAAGAUUUCCAUUCAUGAAGUAUAUCUGCCAUGCCACAGACAGGGUCUUGGUGGUUUCCAGGAUAGAAUUAAAUGCCUGGGUGUGAAGGAAUGAAUUUUAGAACUGCCAGAGACAGAGAAACUCAAGUAAAAGAAAGCUCUACUUCAAAAUCUUAAAUGCCUAGGUGUGAAGGAAUGAAUUUUAGAACUGCCAGAGACAAACUCAAGUAACAGAAAGCUCUACUUCAAAAUCUUUUUUUCCUCCUCUUAGGAGAGCUUGAAGUUGGUUGUGACAGCUUUUCCCUCAACUUAGUCUCCCAAGAAACUCCACAAGGCUAAACCCUGUGAUUGACUCAGUCUUCCAACUGCUGCAGGUAGAAUUCUGUGUGGAAAUCAUCUUAUUUAGCCCUGGGUGUCUCAGGAACAGAAAAGAAAGAACACUUGCCAAAGAAACUGCUGAAACUUCCCAUCCUCAGUUCUAAGAAAAAAGAGAUUAAAAUGAAAACAAAAGGGGAGGUGAGUCAUCAACAUGGCGUGAAGCACUGUGGGAUUUAACAGUCAGGGGUUCGGGUAUGGAAAAGUACCACUUUUUUUUGUUUUAUUUUUAGCCAUCACUAUUGAGGAUGUCAGAAAAUUUGGCUGCUGGAAGGGUUGAUGAAAAGGAAACUUCCCCGUGCAGAAGGAUGCACACCUGCUUAGAAAUUCGCUGGAGCCAACUCCAGUAUUCACUCAUUUCCAUAACGCCAGUCAAACAUCUUCUCAGGAAAACCUGUCUUGGACUCAGCAAAAAGGGGGAGAGAAUCCAGGAGAGGAGCUAGCUAACUUGCUAGGUACACACAUCAUUAUUGCUCUCUUUUCUCCUCCUAUGUGCGAGAAAAUUCCUCUAUUCUAUGAUGGUCUGAGUCUCACAUUAUUUAAUGUAACUGCUUCCCCUUUCCAUUUCCCAAGGACACCCCAUACAUUUCAUUCAGAAUCCUGCUUUGGUACCACUGUAUCUGACAAGGCCUGAGAAGUGGACACAAAGAACAAGGUUUUGGCACUAGUAUCCUAAAAUGUUUCCCAAGAGAAAGCUUCCUGUUGCAGAAUCACCUUGGUUCUAAUACUGAACUUUAGUGGCGAAGGAACCGUUUCUACCCACUGCAAUUGUCCUGAGUGUAAACUCUCUCUAUUUUGUUGU